CCUACGGGAGGCAGCAGUGGGGAAUAUUGGGCAAUGGACGCAAGUCUGACCCAGCAACGCCGCGUGAAGGAAGAAGGCUUUCGGGUUGUAAACUUCUUUUAAGGGGGAAGAGCAGAAGACGGUACCCCUUGAAUAAGCCACGGCUAACUACGUGCCAGCAGCCGCGGUAAUACGUAGGUGGCAAGCGUUGUCCGGUUUUACUGGGUGAAAGGGGCGUGCAGCCGGGAAGAAAAGUCAGUUGUGAAAUCCCGCGGCUCACCCGCGGAACUGCAUUUGAAACUGUUUUGCUUGGUUAUCGGCAGGUAAUCGGAAUUCCUAGUGUAGCGGUGAAAUGCGUAGAUAUUAGGAAGAACACCAGUGGCGAAGGCGGAUUACUGGACGACAACUGACGGUGAGGCGCGAAAGCGUGGGGAGCAAACAGGAUUAGAUACCCCUGUAGUC
rnacentral:rRNA from 1 species